UGGGGAAUAUUGGACAAUGGGCGCAAGCCUGAUCCAGCCAUGCCGCGUGAGUGACGAAGGCCUUAGGGUUGUAAAGCUCUUUCGGCGGGGAAGAUAAUGACGGUACCCGCAGAAGAAGCCCCGGCUAACUCUGUGCCAGCAGCCGCGGUAAUACAGAGGGGGCAAGCGUUGUUCGGAAUCACUGGGCGUAAAGCGCACGUAGGUGGAUAGUUAAGUUCGGGGUGAAAUCCCAGGGCUCAACCCUGGAACUGCCUCGGAUACUGGCUAUCUCGAGUCCGGAAGAGGUGAGUGGAAUUCCUAGUGUAGAGGUGAAAUUCGUAGAUAUUAGGAAGAACACCGGUGGCGAAGGCGGCUCACUGGUCCGGUACUGACACUGAGGUGCGAAAGCGUGGGGAGCAAACAGGAUUAGAUACCCCUGUAGUCCCUGAGCGGGCUGGCAAGGCGCAU
rnacentral:rRNA from 1 species